rnacentral:rRNA from 1 species
AUUGAACGCUGGCGGCAGGCCUAACACAUGCAAGUCGAACGAGUGGCGGACGGGUGAGUAAUGUCUGGGAAAUUGCCCGAUGGAGGGGGAUACCUACUGGAAACGGUAGCUAAUACUGCAUACCAUCGUAUUUGCCCCGAUGGGAUUAGCUAGUAGGUGGGGUAAAGGCUCACCUAGGCGACGAUCCCUAGCUGGUCUGAGAGGAUGACCAGCCACCCUGGAACUGAGACACAGUCCAGACUCCUACGGGAGGCAGCAGUGGGGAAUAUUGCACAAUGGGCGCAAGCCUGAGGCAGCCAUGCCGCGUGUAUGAAGAAGGCCUUCGGGUUGUAAAGUACUUUCAGCGGGGAGGCGUUACCCGCAGAAGAAGCACCGGCUAACUCCGUGCCAGCAGCCGCGGUAAUUC